rnacentral:rRNA from 3 species
AGGGCGUACGGUGAAUGCCUUGGUGCCAACAGGCGAAGAAGGACGCGGCAAGCUGCGAAAAACCUCGGGAAGCUGCAAGCAAGCGAUGAUCCGGGGGUGUCCGAAUGGGGUAACCUGACUGGGGUAAUACCUGGUCGUUCAUACCUGAAUACAUAGGGUAUGAAACGCAAUACCCGCUGAAGUGAAACAUCUCAGUAAGCGGAGGAAAAGAAAGAGAAAUCGAUUCCGUAAGUAGUGGCGAGCGAAAGCGGAUGGAGCCCAAACCGAAGGUACUCCUUCGGGGUUGUAGGACCACGACAUAUUCGACCAUAGUGGAUAGUAGAACAGUCUGGAAAGGCUGGCCAUAGAAGGUGAAAGCCCUGUAGACGAAAUCCAGAGUGGGAAUUAGUGGUAUCCUGAGUAAUACAUCACACGUGGAACGAUGUAUGAAUCAGCGCGGACCACCGCGCAAGGCUAAAUACUAGUUGGCGACCGAUAGUGAACAAGUACCGCGAGGGAAAGGUGAAAAGAACCGCUGUGAGCGGAGUGAAAUAGAACCUGAAACCGUAUGUCUACAAAGUGUCAGAGCAGAGCAAUCUGCGAUGGCGUGCCUUUUGUUUAAUGAGUCUGCGAGUCAGUGUUUGUGGCAAGACUAAGGGCUUCCGGCCCGGAGUCGCAGCGAAAGCAAGUCCGAAUAGGGCGCAUUAAGUCGCAGGUACUGGACCCGAAGCGGAGGUGACCUACCCUUGGCCAGGUUGAAGCAUGGGUAAAACCAUGUGGAGGACCGAACAGGUGAACGUUGAAAAGUUCUCUGAUGAGCUGAGGGUAGGAGUGAAAGGCUAAUCAAACCCCGUGAUAGCUGGUUCUCUUCGAAAUGCAUUUAGGUGCAGCGUCACGUGCUGAUGCGCGGGGGUAGAGCACUGACAAGGCUAGGGGGCACACCCGCUUACCAAACCUUAUCAAACUCCGAAUACCGUGCAAUGGAACGUGGCAGUGAGACAGUGGGGGAUAAGCUUCAUUGUCGAGAGGGAAACAACCCAGACCAGCAGCUAAGGUGCCUAAAUAACGCUGAGUGGAAAGGAUGUGGGAUUACACAGACAGUGAGGAUGUUGGCUUAGAAGCAGCCACCAUUUAAAAAAUGCGUAAUAGCUUACUCAUCGAGUGAUCCUGCGCCGAAAAUGAUUGGCGAUCAAGCGUUAUACCGAAGCUCUGGACUUUGCCGCAAGGCAGAGUGGUAGAAGAGCGUUGCAUGCGCAUUGAAGGGUGAUGGCGACUGACCCUGGAGCGCAUGCAAGUGAGUAUGCAGACAUGAGUAACGUAAAGCCGGGUGAAAUCCCCGGCCGCCGUAAACCCGAGGUUUCCAGGGCAACGUGUUUCGUCCCUGGGUUAGCCGGGACCUAAGCCGAGGCCGAGAGGCGUAGGCGAUGGAUAUCAGGUUAAUAAUCCUGAGCUCGCGACCCUUAAACUGGGGGGACGCAUGAGAAGAGAUGACCAGGUUAUUGAAUUCCGAGCUGGGUCCACGGACCCAGCGCAUCAUCAAAUCGAGUGCCAAGAAAAGCCCCAGCGUAUGCUAAGCGACCCGUACCGCAAACCGACACAGGUGGGUGGGUAGAAUAUACCAAGGCGUAAGAGUGAAACCUGGUUAAGGAACUCGGCAAAUUAGCCCCGUAACUUCGGAAGAAGGGGUGCCUGCAGCGAUGCAGGCCGCAGAGAAAUGGCCCAACCGACUGUUUAUCAAAAACACAGCACUCUGCAAAGACGCAAGUCGAAGUAUAGGGUGUGACACGUGACCAAUGCCGAAAGAUUAAGGCAAGGGGUUAGCCGCAAGGCGAAGCUCUGAACCCAAGUCCCGGUGAAUGUCGGCCGUAACUAUAACGGUCCUAAGGUAGCGAAAUUCCUUGUCGGGUAAGUUCCGACCUGCACGAAUCGUGAAACGAGUUGGGCACUGUCUCAACCAGGCGCUCAGUGAAAUUGUAGUGGCGGUGAAGAUGCCGCCUACCCGCAGAAGGACGGAAAGACCCUAUAGACCUUAACUGUAAGCUGUCAUUGUUUCUUCGGUUUUAAUGCUCAGAGUAAGUGGGAGACGCUGAAGAUGCCCUUUAGGGGGCAUCCGAGUCAUCAAUGAGACACCACCCUUUGAAACUGGAGGAUCUAACCCUGAGCCGUGAAUCCGGCCAGAGGACCGUGUCAGCCGGUCAGUUUUACUGGGGCGGUAUCCUCCCAAAGAGUAACGGAGGAGCGCGAAGGUGGGCUCAGCCCGGUUGGCAACCGGGUGUCGAGUGCAUGGGCAUAAGCCCGCCUAACUGUGAGACCAACAAGUCGAGCAGAUGCGAAAGCAGGCCCAAGUGAUCCGGCGGUAGAAAGUGGAAUUGCCGUCGCUCAACGGAUAAAAGGUACCUUAGGGAUAACAGGCUGAUCACGCCCAAGAGUUCAUAUCGACGGCGUGGUUUGGCACCUCGAUGUCGGCUCGUCGCAUCCUGGGGCUGGAGAAGGUCCCAAGGGUCCGGCUGUUCGCCGGUUAAAGCGGCACGCGAGCUGGGUUCAGAACGUCGCGAGACAGUUCGGUCCUCUAUCCUCUGUGGGCGUUGGAAAAUUGAGGGGUUCAGACCUUAGUACGAGAGGACCGGGUCUGACGCACCACUGGUGCAUCGGUUGUACUGUCAAGUGCAUGGCCGAGUAGCUAAGUGCGGAAGGGAUAAGCGCUGAAAGCAUCUAAGCGCCAAGCCCAUCCCAAGAUGAGUUUUCCCUAUAGGUUCGUGGAAGACCACCACGUCGAUAGGUCGCAGGUGUAAGUGCAGCAAUGUAUUGAGCCAAGCGAUACUAAUCACCGAUAGACUUCAUC